rnacentral:SRP_RNA from 1 species
GCCGGGCGCGGUGGCUCAAGCCUGUAAUCCCAGCACUUUGGGAGGCCAAGACGGGCGGAUCACGAGGUCAGGAGAUCGAGACCAUCCUGGCUAACACGGUGAAACCCCGUCUCCACUAAAAAAUACAAAAAAUUAGCCGGGCGAAGUGGUGGGCACCUGUAGUCCCAGCUACUCGGGAGGCUGAGGCANNNNNNNNNNCCGGCUAGUUUUUUGUAUUUUUUAGUAGAGACGGGGUUUCACCGUGUUAGCCAGGAUGGUCUCAAUCUCCUGACCUCGUGAUCCGCCCGUCUC